rnacentral:rRNA from 1 species
CGACAGGCUUAACACAUGCAAGUCGAGGGGCAGCACAGGUAGCAAUACCGGGUGGCGACCGGCGCACGGGUGAGUAACGCGUAUGCAACUUACCUAUCAGAGGGGGAUAACCCGGCGAAAGUCGGACUAAUACCGCAUGAAGCAGGGGCCCCGCAUGGGGAUAUUUGCUAAAGAUUCAUCGCUGAUAGAUAGGCAUGCGUUCCAUUAGGCAGUUGGCGGGGUAACGGCCCACCAAACCGACGAUGGAUAGGGGUUCUGAGAGGAAGGUCCCCCACAUUGGUACUGAGACACGGACCAAACUCCUACGGGAGGCAGCAGUGAGGAAUAUUGGUCAAUGGCCGAGAGGCUGAACCAGCCAAGUCGCGUGAGGGAUGAAGGUUCUAUGGAUCGUAAACCUCUUUUAUAAGGGAAUAAAGUGCGGGACGUGUCCCGUUUUGUAUGUACCUUAUGAAUAAGGAUCGGCUAACUCCGUGCCAGCAGCCGCGGUAAUACGGAGGAUCCGAGCGUUAUCCGGAUUUAUUGGGUUUAAAGGGUGCGUAGGCGGCCUUUUAAGUCAGCGGUGAAAGUCUGUGGCUCAACCAUAGAAUUGCCGUUGAAACUGGGGGGCUUGAGUAUGUUUGAGGCAGGCGGAAUGCGUGGUGUAGCGGUGAAAUGCAUAGAUAUCACGCAGAACCCCGAUUGCGAAGGCAGCCUGCCAAGCCAUUACUGACGCUGAUGCACGAAAGCGUGGGGAUCAAACAGGAUUAGAUACCCUGGUAGUCCACGCAGUAAACGAUGAUCACUAGCUGUUUGCGAUACACUGUAAGCGGCACAGCGAAAGCGUUAAGUGAUCCACCUGGGGAGUACGCCGGCAACGGUGAAACUCAAAGGAAUUGACGGGGGCCCGCACAAGCGGAGGAACAUGUGGUUUAAUUCGAUGAUACGCGAGGAACCUUACCCGGGUUUGAACGCAUUCGGACCGAGGUGGAAACACCUUUUCUAGCAAUAGCCGUUUGCGAGGUGCUGCAUGGUUGUCGUCAGCUCGUGCCGUGAGGUGUCGGCUUAAGUGCCAUAACGAGCGCAACCCUUGCCACUAGUUACUAACAGGUAAAGCUGAGGACUCUGGUGGGACUGCCAGCGUAAGCUGCGAGGAAGGCGGGGAUGACGUCAAAUCAGCACGGCCCUUACAUCCGGGGCGACACACGUGUUACAAUGGCGUGGACAAAGGGAAGCCACCUGGCGACAGGGAGCGAAUCCCCAAACCACGUCUCAGUUCGGAUCGGAGUCUGCAACCCGACUCCGUGAAGCUGGAUUCGCUAGUAAUCGCGCAUCAGCCAUGGCGCGGUGAAUACGUUCCCGGGCCUUGUACACACCGCCCGUCAAGCCAUGGGAGCCGGGGGUACCUGAAGUCCGUAACCGCGAGGAUCGGCCUAGGGUAAAACUGGUGACUGGGGCUA